rnacentral:ncRNA from 1 species
CGCUGCUCAGAGCAAAGCCGCCGAAAGGCGGUGACGCAGAGUCACGGGACUAACGCGACAGUUUGUCGCCACGUCAGCCGGGCCGCCAGC